AAUAAGAAGCAAUAUAUGCAUUUAAUUUCGACUUAAAAAAAAGAGUAAAUUAACUACUCCUUAUUU
rnacentral:tRNA from 1 species